GGCCUCAGCAUUUUGGCUACCUUUUGCUGAUCUUAGCUAUGCAAGGUUGAGCCUGGUUAGUACUCAAAUGGGUUACCAUCUAGAAUUGCCAAGUGCUGUGGCCU
rnacentral:rRNA from 1 species